UAAAACCAUUUGUCGUCGUACUCGCCCAGGCAGUCGACUUAACGCGUUAGCUCCGGAAGCCACGCCUCAAGGGCACAACCUCCAAGUCGACAUCGUUUACAGCGUGGACUACUCAGGGUAUCUAAUCCUGUUUGCUCCCCACGCUUUCGCACCUGAAGCGUCAGUCUUUGUCCAGGGGGCCGCCUUCGCCACCGGUAUUCCUCCAGAUCUCUACGCAUUUCACCGCUACACCUGGAAUUCUACCCCCCUCUACAAGACUCUAGCUUGCCAGUUUCAAAUGCAGUUCCCAAGUUAAGCUCGGGGAUUUCACAUCUGACUUAACAAACCGCCUGCGUGCGCUUUACGCCCAGUAAUUCCGAUUAACGCUUGCACCCUCCGUAUUACCGCGGCUGCUGGCACGGAGUUAGCCGGUGCUUCUUCUGCGAGUAACGUCAAUCGUUGCAGCUAUUAACUACAACGCCUUCCUCCUCGCUAGAAAGUGCUUUACAACCCUAAGGCCUUCUUCACACACGCGGCAUGGCUGCAUCAGGCUUGCGCCCAUUGUGCAAUAUUCCCCACUGCUGCCUCCCGUAGGA
rnacentral:rRNA from 1 species